UCUCAAACUCCUGAACUCGGGUGAUCUGCCUGCCUCAGCCUCCCAAAGUGCUGGGAUCACAGUGUGAACAGCCCUUCCAGAGCCUUCCAAGUCUUGGAAACCCUGGAGAGAAGCUACGGGGAUCUUUGGGGAGCAGCGGGUUCCUUCGUGAUGAUCCUCCACUGCCUCAGGUUAUCAAACAAAUCCCCAUCCUGAGACCAGGUUAUUUUCACGUGCUGGCUCCUGUAGCCUGGGUAGGGAGACCCCCAGGCACACUUUGGGGGGUCUACCUGAAGGGUCUAGAGGGAAGACCUCUCAUUCAGCAGAAGUGAGCCCAGGCCCCUCAGCAGAAGUGAGCCCAGGCCCUGCAGCCUCUCCCGGAGAACUUGGCAAGGUCCACGCGGGCUGGGUGGUGGGGAGGCUGGAAUUCUCUCCCAGGUCACCCAGAUUUCUUUGCAUAAUGUUAGCUGGUGAUGGAGUGGGGUCCUGAAAUCCGGGGGUGCUGGUGGCUUCAUCCAUACAAUGGAUCAAAUGGUCCCCCUGCACCCCCAUUUCUGUCUACGUCCUCAUCUUUAGAACCUGUGAAUGUGGUUUUCUUCGGAGAAGGAUCUUUGCAGAUGUAAUUACAUUAAGGGUGUUGAGACACGGAGAUCAUCCUGGAUUAGCCAGGGGAGCCCCAAAUCCAAUGAAAAGUGUCCUUGCAGAAAAGCAGAGGGAGAUUUGAGAAUGCAGAGAAGAGAAGACACAGAAGAGGGGCCAUGUGACCAGGGAGGCAGAGAUCGGAGUGAUGUGGGCUCAGAUUCUCCCCUAGAGACCUGGAGGGAUCAUGGCCUUGUCUGCAGCUUCCAGCCUGUGGGAUGGUGAGGUAGUACGUCCUCACUGCUUUCAGCCACCAAGUUUGUGGUGAUCUGUUACAGCAGCUUCAGUAAACACGUACAGCCUGCACAACUCGGUGCCUGGUCGCUGGUGCCAUAGUGAAGGCACAGAAGUGUCCGUCCAUCUGCGGGUCGCUGAUGCCAUAGUGAAGGCACAGAACUGUCCGUCCAUCUGCGGGUCGCUGAUGCCAUAGUGAAGGCACAGAACUGUCCAUCCAUCUGUGGAUCGCUGGCCCCACGGUGAAGGCACAGAACUGUCCAUCCAUCUGUGGGUCACUGGCACCACGGUGAAGGCACAGAACUGUCCAUCCAUCUGUGGGUUGUUGACCCCAUGGUGAAGGCACAGAACUGUCCAUCCAUCUGUGGGUCGCUGGCACCACGGUGAAGGCACAGAACUGUCCGUCCAUCUGUGGGUUGUUGACCCCAUGGUGAAGGCACAGAACUGUCCAUCCAUCUGUGGGUCGCUGGCACCACGGUGAAGGCACAGAACUGUCCAUCCAUCUGUGGGUUGUUGACCCCAUGGUGAAGGCACAGAACUGUCCAUUCAUCUGCGGGUCGCUGGCACCACGGUGAAGGCACAGAACUGUCCAUCCAUCUGCGGAUCGCUGGCCCCACGGUGAAGGCACAGAAGUGUCCAUCCAUCUGUGGGUCGCUGGUGCCAUAGUGAAGGCACAGAAGUGUCCGUCCAUCUGCGGGUCGCUGGUGCCAUAGUGAAGGCACAGAACUGUCCAUCCAUCUGCGGAUCACUGGCCCCACGGUGAAGGCACAGAAGUGUCCAUCCAUCUGUGGGUCGCUGGUGCCAUAGUGAAGGCACAGAACUGUCCAUCCAUCUGUGGGUUGUUGACCCCAUGGUGAAGGCACAGAACUGUCCAUCCAUCUGUGGGUCUCUGGCACCACGGUGAAGGCACAGAACUGUCCAUCCAUCUGUGGGUUGUUGACCCCAUGGUGAAGGCACAGAACUGUCCAUCCAUCUGUGGGUCGCUGGCACCACGGUGAAGGCACAGAACUGUCCGUCCAUUGCGGAUGCUGGUGCUGCCCUUUAUAGCCACGACCACCUCCUUGUUUCCCUCACGCCCCGUGACUGCUAACCCCUUCUCCAGUGCCAUCACUUUGUCAUUUCAAGAACGUGAUGUCAAGGGACUCAUGCCAGGUGUCCCUUUUGAACUUGGCUCUUCUCAUUCAGCACAAUUCUCAGGAGAUCCAUUCAACUUGUGGAGUGGAAUCCCAUGGUAUGGAUAUACCACCAUUUAACCACUGACCUGUUGGAGGACAUUAGGUGGUUUCCGGUUUUUGGCUAUUGCAGAUAAAGAUGCUGUGAACGCUGGCGUGCCGGAUUCGGUGUGAAUGUAAACAGGGCCAGACUGGAUGAGCCACCCAGACCCUCGGAGUCUCUUUGUAAGAGCUCUGAUUCUGAGAAGUGCGCACUGAUCCCUGUGACGGGCAGCAGGAAAGGAGAAUAACAGCGGAUUGGGGUAUGGAACAUGAAUCGGAUGAGAUGUUUAUCUCUGGUGAAUGCGUGUUGACUGGUGUGAAUCACUGCUGCCUAGGAAAAGGACUUUAAUCUCCUUCAUACCUCCUGGUAAAUUCUGCUGAUUUAGGAGGAGGAAGGAAAAUUUAGAGACAAUUGGAAAUCAACUCGGUCAGCACAACAGUGAGAAGUCAAGAUUUGAGGAGUAUUUCCAGCCUUACCAUUGACUCUCUCGGGUCACAUCAGUUAAUAAUUUCUAUUACUACUCCAAGGCCCUCAUGAGCAGCAGGAAAUGCCUCUGUCAAAAUAGCUCUGUGAAUGAGGAUCCAACCUUUGCCACCUGUACCUUUGGUCCAAUUUUAGGAAAGAAAGGCUUCGCUCUUGCGUGAAGGGAUAAAAAAGGCCCUGCUAUGCCAUUAGAGACCUGGGUUUGAGACCCACUUUAGCCCUAGCUCCAGGACCGAGGAAAACUGCUUAUUCUCAAUCUGAAUACGUUUUUAAAACACUUUUACCCAUUUUUAGUAGAAAUACAUUUAUUUUAUGAUACUUUAAAGCUUUUUGUUUUGGAUAAAUUGAGAAGGAUGAAUAGUGAAAUGGAUAUGCCACUUGCAGGACAACUUUGUGAACACAAUACUUAGUCAUUUUUAGAACAGAUGCUUCUCAUUGAAGUAUGAGAAAGUGCUCAUAUGGCAAGGGAAAUCUCUGAAAUGAUGAAACCUCUGUGUAGCCACCACCUACAUCAAGAACCAGAUCAUUGCUAGGAGCCCAGAAGACUCUUUCGUGCCCUUUUCAGUUCCCACCUCCCCCCACGCCCUCAAAAAUAACCAUGGUUUUGCCUUUGAACAGCUGACCCAACUUUGGGUGAAUGGCAUCACACAUUGCAUAUUCUCUUAACUCCAGUGGUUUUCACUUAGUGUUUUGUUUAUGAGAUUUAUCUGUGGUGGGUGUAGCAGCUGCUUGCUAUGUGUUUCCAUGAAACGGGCACAAUAGUCCUUACAGAUAGGGUUCUGCUGGGGAUUGGGUUGGGGAAGGCACAGAAGGCAGGGAGAGGUGGGCUUGCAGACAUGCGGGACGAGCAUGACUGUUCUUCAUUCGAGGGUGCUCAGGAACCCACAAUCCUAACUCAAGCAGACACUGGAAUUUAAGUCUCAGUAUUAAGACUUUUAAGACUCAACCAGAUCCUUCAUGCUCCAACUGGCUCAUCAGGAGGUUUGAAGCAGAUUUUGCCAGCAUGCCCAGAGGACUCUGGGAAGACUUCCAGGAUUCCUGGACCAGGCGAAACCUUCAGAGCCGUCAGGCACCGCUGUGCCUCCUCCUGCUGCUGCCUGGCUGCUGAGAUUGGUGCAUCUGGAUGAAUCUGAUGUGUAUGUUUUCAUUACUUUCCUUCCAGAACCCUUGGUAAAGAAAGUACACAGAGGGAUUCACGAGCACCUGGCCAACUCCAAGGUCCUGGGAGGACAUGAACCAGUGACUUUGAAUGUGAUGCUGAGCCCAGCAGGGAGCCAGUAUGACUCUUUCCAAAUCACAAGUGAGACUCAGAGGCCCCACUGGGCUCCCAUGUGGACUCAAGCCACCGUCUUUGCUUAGAGGACACAGCAGAAAGACUUGGCUCAUUUUCCAGGGGGCAGACUUGGAGAGUUCUGGCAGGUCCAUACAUUUCAACCCCCUCCUCCCAGCACAGCAGGCCUGCUCUUUUAUGUAUCCAAUGGGAAUAUUUUUCAUUAUCUUCCCUCUCAAUUUAAUUAAUCCACAUUCCAUAAUGAACCUUGAAAUUUCAUUAAACACAUCAUUACUAAUCAGCA